GUCCUUUCCCUUCAUCUGUAACUGCGCUGAUGAAGUAGAGGACGCAAGGAGAGGAAGCAAGAAGAGGAAACAAGGAGAGGAAGCAAGGAGAGGAAGCACAGAGAAGAAGCAAGGCGAGGAAGCCAUUUUAGACCAACGAGAUGUAGGCCCUACCCCCAACCUAGUCAUCCAGGGCUUCUUCAGACACUACAGCAGACGACUGGACAUCAAAAGCACCAAGGACAGUUUGUGAAAGAGAGAGUUGAACCAGUGGUGCACCACCUAAACCUCCCAAAACAGUUGUCUGUUUUCCUGGCAACCAAUCUAAUAAUGAAGGAGGUCCUAAUAGUGUUUAUGGAGACUGAACAGAAAAGACCAGUGUUACCAGACUGGAAGCAUUUACCACCAAGUUCCUCUUCUUGGUGAGGCAGGGGGGAGCACCGAAAGAGGAAGUGGG
rnacentral:lncRNA from 1 species